AAAAACUGUUUCCUACAACAUUGUUGAGGAAUUUGUGUUGAAAUAAUUUUGCUUUUGAGAUAUUAAUUUUAUAAAUAUCUAAAAUGGCUAGUUGUGUUUGGAACUAAAUGCCUGCUGGAGAAAUAGGCUAACAAAGGGUGAAGGUGAAGAUCAUUAGAGGUUUUAGAGCUGGCUGAGACGGGUUGCUGGGGUUGUAUAACUGUGCCUAGAGGGCGGGGUUCCUGUACAUUCCUACUUCACCAGAUAACCUGCCCCCAACACCACUCCAGCUUCUGCCAGACAGAUGGAACUCUCCAACGUGAAAAUCUGCGCAGCCAUUCCAACAAGCGGGACUGCCUGGUGUUGGCCGAAGGAUGCCGAAGAAAAAGAUUUAAGGACUGGGACACUCUUACCCCAAGAUUGUACGCCCCUCCUCCCUCUAUUUUCACACUAACUUUGCCAACCUCUCCCAGAUCUGGCCCUCCGCCCCCAGCUCCUUGGCCUGGGUCAGGCGAGGGUCCCCGCGGGAUUUAGCGGAACAGCUCCAGGAUGAAGAUGGAAUCCAUUUCAGUCUGAAAUGUGUUUCAUGGCUGUAACGGGCAUUCCUCUGAGUUCUUGUUUCACUGGUUAGAUGGAUGAUCCAUUCCAGUCCAACUCAAGUGUUCUAAAAAAGACUGCCUUGGUCUAAUAUGAGGUUUCUCAUUGGCCAGUACUAUGAAGGUUGAUGGCAUGAUCAUUCACUUCACAUCAAAGGAUAUCUACUCAUCAGUGUGCUGUUGUCAGUCAGAGGUUUCCAAAUAUGUGUUCUCCAACUCAAGGAAAAGUAGCUGGAUCCAGGCAGAAACGUGUCUAGGAACUCCCUAACUAUGCAUGCUGUGUCUCCAGAAAAAGCUGCUUCAGCAUUCCUCCUGGUUUUUGUUUUUGUAAUACUUUUCUCGACAGCAUUCUCCAGACUCUAAACUACUAGAAUAGUUCCUAAGUUCAUCCAGAUCUUUCCCAUGUCUGAAUUCUUGGUCCUCUUCCCACCCCCUGGCUCACAGAUAAAAAAGAAACAACAAUAAAGGAAUAAAAAUUG